rnacentral:rRNA from 1 species
AUACGGAGGAUCCAAGCGUUAUCCGGAUUUAUUGGGUUUAAAGGGUGCGCAGGCGGAAGAUUAAGUCGGCGGUGAAAUUUUGCAGCUCAACUGUAAAAGUGCCAUCGAUACUGGUUUUCUUGAGUGUGGAUGAAGUAGGCGGAAUUUGUGGUGUAGCGGUGAAAUGCAUAGAUAUCACGAGGAACUCCGAUUGCGCAGGCAGCUUACUAGGCCAUAAAUGACGCUCAGGCACGAAGGCGUGGGGAUCAAACAGGAUUAGAUACCCUGGUAGUCCACGCAGUAAACGAUGAUUACUCGCUGUUUGCGAUACACAGUAAGCGGCUUAGCGAAAGCGUUAAGUAAUCCACCUGGGGAGUACGUUCGCAAGAAUGAAACUCAAAGGAAUUGGCGGGG